rnacentral:rRNA from 1 species
AUUGAACGCUGGCGGCAUGCUUUACACAUGCAAGUCGAACGGUAGAGGGGGCAACCCCUUGAGAGUGGCGAACGGGUGAGUAAUGCAUCGGAACGUGCCCAGUCGUGGGGGAUAACGCAGCGAUAGCUGUGCUAAUACCGCAUACGAUCUCUGGAUGAAAGCGGGGGACCGAAAGGCCUCGCGCGAUUGGGGCGGCCGAUGUCAGAUUAGGUAGUUGGUGGGGUAAAGGCUCACCAAGCCAACGAUCUGUAGCUGGUCUGAGAGGACGACCAGCCACACUGGGACUGAGACACGGCCCAGACUCCUACGGGAGGCAGCAGUGGGGAAUUUUGGACAAUGGGCGCAAGUCUGAUCCAGCAAUGCCGCGUGCAGGAAGAAGGCCUUCGGGUUGUAAACUGCUUUUGUACGGAACGAAAAGGUCUGGGUUAAUACCCUGGGCACAUGACGGUACCGUAAGAAUAAGCACCGGCUAACUACGUGCCAGCCGCCGCGGUAA